rnacentral:rRNA from 1 species
UACGUAGGGGGCAAGCGUUGUCCGGAUUCAUUGGGCGUAAAGAGCGUGUAGGCGGCCUGAAAGGUCAGCUGUGAAAACUCGAGGCUCAACCUCGAGACGUCGGUUGAAACCAUCUGGCUAGAGUCCGGAAGAGGAGUGUGGAAUUCCCGGUGUAGCGGUGAAAUGCGCAGAUAUCGGGAAGAACACCCGUGGCGAAGGCGGCACUCUGGGACGGUACUGACGCUGAGGCGCGAAGGCGUGGGGAGCGAACGGG